rnacentral:tRNA from 1 species
GGUAAAAUGGCUGAGGUUAGGUGAUAGAUUGUAAAUCUAUUAAGAGGAUGUUAAUUCCUUUUUACCA